CCUACGGGAGGCAGCAGUGAGGAAUAUUGGUCAAUGGUCGGGAGACUGAACCAGCCAAGCCGCGUGAGGGAUGAAGGUACAGAGUAUCGUAAACCUCUUUUGUCAGGGAACAAAGGCGGGGACGUGUCCCCGGAUGAGUGUACCUGAAGAAAAAGCAUCGGCUAACUCCGUGCCAGCAGCCGCGGUAAUACGGAGGAUGCGAGCGUUAUCCGGAUUUAUUGGGUUUAAAGGGUGCGCAGGCGGUCUGUUAAGUCAGCGGUCAAAGCCCGGGGCUCAACCGCGGCCCGCCGUUGAAACUGGCAGUCUUGAGUUGGAGAGAGGUAUGCGGAAUGCGCGGUGUAGCGGUGAAAUGCAUAGAUAUCGCGCAGAACUCCGAUUGCGAAGGCAGCAUGCCGGCUCCACACUGACGCUGAGGCACGAAAGCGUGGGUAUCGAACAGGAUUAGAUACCCCAGUAGUC
rnacentral:rRNA from 1 species